GUGUAGCUGUUAGCAUGUGUAGCUGUUAGCAUGUGUAGCUGUUAGCAGCCACGUGUCGUCGCGUGCUUGGAUAAUCUAGUCUCGUGACUGUGUCUCUAUUUUUCUGUGUAGGAGCAGGAGCUUCACGUCAGACCUCCACCAACCACAUGUUUGUUCUCUAACAGUUUCCAGUGACCAGUCUCACUUCAGGCUGACUGUAGAACAUCUCCAGAUGUUGCUCACCAGAUGUCACCAAGAUCUCAUGUGGAAUUUCAAAAUAAAGGCCCUCCAAAGUUGGACAUUUUCCAUAGAAUUGUCCCUAAGUUUCUGUGUUUGUUGCUCGUUCUUCAGGAUGUUGUAGAAACAGCGAGGAAACUCUGUGAACCACACAGUCUUUCUGGUGGAUCAAGUUCAGCAGAAGACGAUUCAAAAGCUGCAAAAACAUUUAGAUUGCCAGAGAAGUGAUGAAGACUUUCCUGAUAUUCCAGCAUCAGGUUUGAAAGAUCCAAACUGGAAAUCAUAAAGUAAAGAGGAAUGGGUCAACAGAUACUGACUGCAUCAGGUUUGGUCCUGAAGGUUUGAUUUCAACAUUCUAAUAGACUUACGCAUUAUUGUCCAACAAGGAAGUGACUAAAAAUAGUUCACUCUGAAGAUAAUAAUAUUUUAAAGUACAAAGGUUGUUAAGAAGGUGAAGAGGAGACGAAUAAUAUCUGAUUGGUUGAGCUGAGAAAUGAAAAGGCUGAAUGUGAUUCAAAUAAGUGAUAAAGUUCACAAUCACAUUUGACUCUUCAAGAGAAUUGUGUGUAAAUAAAUCAAACAAUGAUGUGUUUGAAGCUUUAAGGUCAAAAUGCAGGUAAAUCCAGUCAGAAAUGUUCUUUGUAUAAAACUAAACACUAGAACUCGACCUGACUGGAUAAAUGUGGAUCCAGCAACACAAUUCCCUCAAAAACUACGUUUCUACUGCAGCUUUGCAAAGUAUUACUGUGUGA